rnacentral:lncRNA from 1 species
GCCACUUCCACAUCCAGGGAGCCAACUAGAAACAUCCCCAAACCUAAAAGCAAAAUAACCUGUCCAAACAGCUUUAAAGGUCCAGGAAGAUAAAUGUCAAGGGAGCUAAAAUAGUCGACAGGCCCCAGAACAUAGAAAAUAAACUUCCCUUUCAGAAAGCAGCCUUCACUUGGUUUCGUAAGCGUGUACCGCUGAAGUCUGUACUGUUUGAAGGUGAAAAGAAACAUCUGAGAAGCACCUGCCUGGAUUCUCUUCGCUCCCUCCGGCCAUGACAACCCUUAUCCCGAUUUCUACUUCGCGGCACCAAAGAGGAAAGCAGCAUUCACCAGAACGCUCCAGGCUGAAUCCGUUAGCUGGACUAGGGCACUCUAUCCGGCCCACGGGAGGACGCCACAAGCCCGAGUUCGGGUUAAGACGGUGGGAGAGGCAGCCGCUGCUGCUGCUGUUUUGCCCUUGACACGUCGCUGGGGGAUAGCGCAGACCCCCUCUGUCACGGAAAAGCGGCGUCCUGGAGAGACUGUCCAGUUCUGGGCUGCGCCGAUUCCCCUCCAGGCCUUGCCCCUAAACGUCCCCGCCCCGCGGGGGCAGCCCUGCGGGGUCUCAGAGCCGCCCGCGAGCCUGGCGGGCUGUUACGCGGCCUGGAGAGAAGGGGAGCGCUCCUCGGGGAGGGGGGGUCCCACCUGUUUUGUCGUCAGGGGGCAUCGAGGGGCUACGGUGGGGGGAUCCCGAAAUAGUGGGCGCCUGGCCGGCUGCGAUCUGGACCGAAGGUACCAACUGUCACACCGCCACCUAGGCUGUGGGGGUGGAGCCGUGAUUGGAGUCGGCCCCUGGGUGGGGGUCUCCGGACCCCGGGCGGGCUACUGCCCAAAGGCUCCCCGCCUCCCGAUCGCCCCAAUCCGACACCAGGCAGCCUUCCAGCCCGCACGCAGUAGCUCUGAAAAGGUGCCCACUGACGCCUCCUCCUUCCUCCCCGCCCCAACUUAGCCGGGGAGCCCCGCCGGCGGCCCGCCCCCUCCGAGCCCGGAUCCCGGCCGCCGGACCUCCCCGCUGUGACCACCCACGGGAGCAGCAGCUCUGGAGGACUGCCCGCCAGAAAAAAAAAGCCUCUGGCGACGCCUGGGAGCGCGACGGAGGCGCAAGAGCUCUAACCGCGCGAGGUGAAAACUCCGACUGCGUCAGAGCCGCCCCGCCCCGCCUGGGGCCCACCUUCCGCCGCCCCUCCGAGCUGCGGCGAAAACCCGGAGAGCGGCUAGGCCGGGGUCGGAGCCCGCGCAUGCCCAGUAGCCCCACGUGGUGCAAGUCGCCUGAAGGAAGGUUUUCCUCUGCUCCCCGAGCGAAGCCCCAGCGCCCAAGUUAGGAUGGACAGCGGGGAGAGCUGGCCUUCCCGCCCCGAUGCCCGCCGUCCCUGGCCGGCCCGCGCCGCACCUCGGUGGCCUACAGGCAGCCCGAGGCCGUGCCUCCCGCGGGGUCGGGGACUUGGCGAGCGGGGGAAGGGGCGCGGCUACGGGCCCGGCGUACCACGUGACUGUCCGCGGCGCUCCGGGCAGCCAUCUUCCGCCCGGCCAUCGGGCCGCGGGCGCUCGGAACCGACCUGGGAGCUGGCGGGACCGUCCUCCCCCGCCACGCCCUCCCAUCGGGCUUUGGGCGCCGGACUCUGGCCACCGCUCGGCACCUGCCUCCGCCUCGCCUUGGGGUAUAGGAGUCCUGUACCGACCCCUGGCUUGCCCAGAGGACAGGUUCUCGCCCGGGCCAGAAGCAAACUGCGGCGAAAUCGAGACAACAGAACUCAGGUGGCGGAGGGUCCCCGCUUUUCCCCAGAGGCGGAAGUUGGCGAGGGAGUCCUCUUCCGUUAUCCAGCGAGAGCGCUGCUCUGGCUGCCUCCCGGUUCUAACCUAGUCCCUGCAGAGGAGUGAUGUACCGGCAGGGACAUUGGACAGAGGCCGUGCUCUUCCCUGCAGCGCAUACCCCGCGGCCCCUGCUGGUGGGCCGCUUCGAUGGUGCUGAGGUUCAUAGUGAAUAUUUAUUGAGCGCCUGCCUCGAGUCCCUUGGGUUUCCUGUUGUCUCGGGACCUGCCGCGUCACUAUCACCCUAGAAUUUGUUAGAAAUGCACGUUUUCGGCCCCACCUAGACCUACAGAACCAGAAACUGCGGGUGGAGUCCUGCAAUAUGAUUAACAAAGCCCUCCGGGUAGUUGUCAUGGACGCCUCUAUAUUUCAGCUAAGCAGUCCAUUUUAAUAAGCUAGGCAGUGAAAAUUUCCAUAGUUUUCCCCAAAGCACAGUGAGGAGUCAGGGAUUCAAAAUGAGGCAAUCUGCCCCAAUGCAGGCGUUUUAUUGCACCCUCCACUCCUGGCUCCUCUGGUUUUUUCGCCCGUAAGACACAGUACUGCUCUUCUCAGGAAGAUUAGGAAAGUACAUUUGUCACAUACGCUUUUCAAGCACGGCUUUAAAAUAACAACUGAAAUUCAGUUCAACUGCAUGUUUUGAGUAUCUACUGGGAGCAAGGCUCUGUGAAGUAUAGUAGCCCUACUGGUUAUGUUUAUCAGUUUGCACCUAAAAGGUGAAAGGAAGGCUUGCUUUCUUGUGAUGUAAAUUUUUUCAAACUAAGGGAGUGCCAGAAAACUGCUGGCUGCUUUCUCUCCCGUGUUGGUUUCUCUCCAGUGCUAUCCAGAAUAUGCUGUAAGCUCUGGACUUCCUGAAACAAAGGUCCAAAGUCACUCUGUCACCCAGGCUGGAGUGCAGUGGCACCAUCACAGCUCCCUGCAGCCUUGACUUACAGGGCUCCAGUGAUCCUCCACCCUCAGCCUCCUGAGUAUCUGAGACCACAGGUGCAAGCCACCAUGCCCAGGUAAUUUUUUAUUUUUGGCCGAGGCUGUUUCAUCAUGUUGCCCAAACUGGCCUUGAACCCCUGAGCUCAAGUAAUCCACAGGCCUCCGCUUCCCAAAGUGCUGAGAUUACAAGCAUGAGCCACUGUGCCUUGCUUACCAGUGUAUUUCUUAGGAAAAUUUUAAUAAACAUCAUAUUGUUGGAUUGUAAAAUUUUUGGAUUCUCAAGUACUCAGAAUAUCAUGAAUUACGUUGCUGUCAAGACAACUAGGAAACAAAAGUGAAUCACCUCCAAGUCACAAUCUGUCAUUAGAAAUCUUGUUAAAAAUAAUACUAAGAGCAAAUACUGAAGCAAAUGCUUCACUUACCAAAACAGCUAUUCUGAAGUAGGUGGUUUGGUUCCAAAUGAAUGACUUUUCUACCUUUAGAAGGUAAACUACCUGAUUUAAAAUGUGGUUUUAUUCAGUGGACCUUUCAGCAGUAGCCAUCACUCACCAUUGAGAAGGUGGGCUUCUCUCACCACCUUAAUCUCUGUAGGUCUCUUUCACCCUCUAGCAUACAUCUUACUAAGGCAUCUAAAGUACUUACUACUUCGUACUCAUGGGAUCCAAUGAUGCUCACAUAAUGUCAUCAAUAGAGUGGACCAGUGUGAUGUUUUGUGGAAUGUCAGAACAAUCAAGAUCACUUCAGACUAUUAUGGCAGUGAGCAAGAGAACUAAUGGAGCCCGUGGCAACACUGGGAAGACAUAUUGUUGGCCCUGUUGGGUAACAGCAAAUCACUUCUGAUGGACCUUGCAAAUUGGUAUGGAGGAAAAGGCAUUAGCCAGUUGUAGCAAGGAAACCAAAAGGUAUAAACAUUCACUGAUUGAAAAACAAUGUCAUAAAGUCAUCCCAGUAUCUGUGAGGAGUUGGUUCCAGGACCCCUGAGGACACCAAAAUCCUCAGAUGCUCAAGUCCCUGAUAAAAAAAUAAAAGCAGUGGUGCCCUCGGGUUCAAAAACCUGAACGGUGGUCUUCAGUUGUUCCCCCAAGCUCCUCUAUCAGAGGCCCAGACACUCCAAGAGGCUGGGAAGAGGCAAGUGGCUUUCCCUGACUGGCAUCAGACUCCUGGAUGGCUGUGUUUCUGCAUACUCCACCAUCAACAAUCAGAAGGGCACUGCUUUCUUCAAGAAGGGGACCUUGCAAAGAACUGUCUCAGAUGGACUAUCUUUGAGUUCAUCUUGUUCUGAAUGUGAGUCUGAGUCUUUGUUUCCAGAUGACACAGUGCUGUCUGAGUCCUCUGAAUCACCUGCCUCAGAGCUGCAGCAAAGUUUCUGCUGCCCAGAAACUGAAUGGGCUGCUUGUAAUGCAGAUUCUUCCUCCUGGACAAGAAGUGCUGCUGCUUCUAGUUCUUCCAGUUCUAACCCCAACUGGGCCUUUGUAAGGGAGACUUCCUUUAAGGCUUCUGCAAGAGCUGCCAACGUUUUGGAUUUGACUUUCUGAGUCCACACACAGUAGUAUGAGAUGUAGAGAUCAUUCAGUAUGUAUGCUGGGUCGUUUUCCUGAAAAAUUUUGUGAAUAUCCAGGAGACACUUUAAAACUGCACUUUUACUUAAUUGCAGUAUCUUUAUAGUCUCCCCGUAGGCCUUCAUCGCCAGUUUGAAAUGGCGAUAGAGCAGGUAACACAAUACCCUUCUUCCAAAAGACACCAUGAUAUCAUGAACAUUAGUCCAAGUCUCAAACCAGCAUAGUAUUGGACUCAAGUUUCGUGAUAUUCCAUGCAGAUUCAACGUUCUUGUCUCCUUCAGUGACACGGGUUUCUUAGCAAUAUGCCAGAAGGAUAUCAAUCGAACUGUAGUACACUUGACGACAGGCUCUGUUGUCUAGCAGAUAAGAUUUAUUGACAAAUUCUUGUAGCUGAUAUUUCUCUUCUUCAGAAAAAGACACUAAUGCAGCAUGAUUUUCUUGCUUCUGACUCUUUUCCAAAAAGGCCGUCAUUUUUUAAUAUUUGUCAGUCCACCAAGGAUUAUACUUCAAAAUCUGUUCAACUGCCUCAUCUUCAAAAAAGUCAGCUAGAUAAUGAUCAGGAUCAAACUUGGCCAGCUCGGCGGCCAGGUGCUUUUGUUUUCGUUCUGCUGCAGGGAUGAAAUCUGGAUCCUUAAUAACAUCACUCAAUUCAUCCUGUAACUGCUGAAACACUCCUGAUCGUAAGUUUCCAAACCCAUAGUGGCAUGAGGAUUCAAAGCACUUUCUGUUACCUCUUCAUAGGGUGUCUGCUCAAUUUCCCAAUCAAACUCUUCAUCGUCAACUACUUCCUCAGGAAUUUCAGAAUCACCUAUUGCUUCCACAAGUGGUUUUGCUGUCCCGGAUUUUCCUGGUGCCAGAAGAGCAACACAUGUUCAGCCCCUCAAAAUGCUGGCCAGGGGUUUCUCUGGGCAGGCGAGUGGUAAAAAUUCCUUUAUCUGCAUCAUAGGACCCUUGCUCGCUUCCGUAUCCAUAUUCUACAAUUCUUCCAGGAGGGGUUAAUCUGAGAAAGUACGGCUUGGCAUAGUAGUCUAGGCCGACCCCUCGAAGUAGACGUUGAACUCGGAGGCCGGGGCAUAGGGCACGCGGAUGGCGAUGGUCAGGAAAUCCGGCUCCUGGCUGAGGCUGAACGCCGGGGUCAGCAUCGCGGCACCAGACGCAGGGGCCAGCGCGGCUCGCCCUCGCUGCCGCGGCGGUCCCACCAAGCAACUCUCUCCAAUUUUACCUUUUUAAAAUAAAAGAUGUCUGGGCCAGGCGCAGUGGCUCACGCUUGUAAUCCCAGCACUUUGGGAAGCCGAGGCGGGUGGAUCCUGACCUGAGGUCAGGAGUUCAAGAUCAGCCCCGCCGACAUGACGAAACUCCGUCUCUACUAAAAAUACAAACAUCAGCCGGACGUGGUGGUGGGCGCCUGUAAUCCCCACUACUCGGGAGGCUGAGGCAGGAGAAUCACUUGAACCCGGGAGGCAGAGGUUGCAAUGAGCCGAGAUCAUGCCACUGUACUCCAGCCUGGGUGACAGAGUGAGACUCUGUCUCAAAAAAAAAAAAAAAAAAAAAAAAAAAAGUCUGUCUUCCAGGACACAGAAGCCUCCUAUACACACAUUUUGGCACUUGAUUAUGUUAUGUCUUUUACAGUUCUCUGCAUGUUUCUUGCAGGUAAGUCUUGAUUCUUCAAUUACAUAUUAAAUUUCUAUUGAGGAUAUAUAUCUAGCUUUCAUCUUUCAGAGUACCUAGCAUAGGACUUGGCACCAAGUAGCCCAUAGUAAACAGUUAUUCAACCAUAAUGUAUGAUUUUCUUUUCUACUUUUCACUGGUAUGUUUUUGUUUAAAAAGGGUAAACCACCAGGGAUGGAAAUGUCCUUGCUAUGUUAUCCUUCUUCUCUAAUUAGCAACCACCCUUCACAAUCUGCCACAUUACAUUUAAAAAGGAUUUUCAAAUUAGACAUUUAUGCCUGGGCAUUAACCAGGGACUGAUGAAUCAGUGCCAUCAGCAGAACACUGCCCUGACUGGCAGACAUGGCACCAUUGUCAAGACUUGUAAUUUACUCCUGGCUUUUCAAAUAGUCAGUGUGUAACUCCAGGCAAGGUUUAAUUAUCUCCUGUUAAAAUGGGAAUAAUAUGACCCACCCCCACUUUGCUUCCCAUGGGUAUCAUGAGAAUUAAUUAAUUAUUGAAUAAGAAUAUAUGUCUAUAAAAUAUUUUAUAGUUCAUUAGAGGUAAACAAAUGCAAACGUAAGAUAUUGUUCAAUGUAUUAUGAAUGUUCAUUGUUGCUGUAUUUAGUACAAAGUACCUGUAUUAUAUCAACAGUGGUAGUACACAAAAUAAUGAAUACAUGUUGGGUCAGCACCUCCUCCAAUUACCACUUGCAAACAAGUCCUGGAUGGCCAGAACUAAUUGGAAGGUUGAGACAAAAAUUAUAUCUCGCACACUAAAGAAGGGGAGAUUGAUACAGCGCGCUCACCUAAAUUUCGUAGUGCCUUCAUGAACUCUUCAAAAGCUUCAAAUCUAGGCUAGGCUACAGGAAGAACAGCAGCAACUGAAGACUGGCACCUUUUCUGGAACCUCAGCAGCACCUUCCUUGUUUCGUAAGAUUUCGAAGAAGCAUAUCAAAAUUCUUCCACCCAUUCCUUCACAGUAUAAUAGGAGAAAACAUCUAUCCUCCGUUGACACCUGGAAGAAUGAGAUUCCAACUCACUCCAGGACAUGGCCAGAAAAAUUCAACAAAAGAUUUGCUAAAUCCUCUGCACUAUUAUCUAGACCAGGAUUUCUCAACCUCAGCUCUGUGGACAUUUGGGCCAGAUAAUUCUUUGUUACCAGAGGCUGUCCUGUACAUCAUCAGGUGUUUAGCAGCAUUCCUGGCCUCAACCAAAUGGAUGCCAGUAGCACCUCCCCCACCCACUUGUGACAGCCAAAGAUAUCUCCAGACAUUGCCAAAUGUCCCCUGUUAUGGAGAAUCAUCCUCAGUUGAGAAUCACUGGUUUAGGCAAUGAUCAAAGUGGGGCAACUAAAUCAAAAGGCACUGCAAUCUUAAGUUGAUCAAGCAUCCUUCUUUGAAAUCACUCAGCACUUUCAUAUAUUGCAUUUAUAUCUUAGGUAUUCAUAUUCUAACAAUUCAGCCAAUGUUUUUUGAGUUCGCAAUGGACAAGGUACAAGAUCAAGUAAGUAAUUCUGUGUAUCCAUAAAACAGAAAUGGAUAUGGUAUGUCCCAGUUCUCCACAGUAGGCAUUUAUGUUAUUCCCAUCCCAAUAUUUAGCCCUGAUCAGGGUUGUCAAACAUUGCAUGGGACAUACUUAUCCUAAAAAAUUAUUCAUUAUUUAUCUGAAAUUGAAAUUUAACUGGAUGUCCUAUGUGUGUGCAUGUGUAUGUUUGUUUGUUUGUUUCUUUUUCUAAAUCUGAUUACCCUAUCCUAACAGACUCAAGGUUUUUUCCCUGUUCCACAAACUUUAUGACUUGACUUCAUUAAAAAUAAUAAAGAGGAAUAACUGCAAAGGCUUUAAAAAUGCUGUUAGAAUGAGUAGCACAACUGAAUUUGAGGAUACAUUUUCUUUGAAGGAUGUCUAUUUUCCUACUGAAAAUAGUGGCAAACUCCUUAGAACUCAUUCAAAGCCUGAUGGGAUUCAUUGCCUGAUUUAUUUAAAAACACUUCUGAUGCUCACAGACUAUUUAUCAUUUACACAGCAAAUGAUGUUCUUCUAGUAUUCUUGUUGGGUGAGUUAGCAUUGUGGAAGGACAUAGAGGAGAAUCAGACACAAACUUCUUAUAACCUCAUAAACAGGAAGAAAGGGAGCAGAAGCAUAGACUGACUUUACUUUCACUCAGCUUACCUUCCUAGUUCUCCAGGUGUGGUCCUCAGAAGAGGAAUAUCAUGUGACCUGGGAACUUGCUAGAAAUGCACAUCCUUGGGACCCACCCCGGACCUACUGAAUCAGAAACUCUGAGAGUGGGUCCUAGCAACCAGUGUUUUCACAGGCCUUCCAGGUGAUUCUUCCGCAUGUUCGAGUUUGAGAACAACUGCUUUAGAGCCCUGGUUCUUGACCCUGGCUACAGGGUAAAACACCUGGGGAGUUUUUAAAAUACUGAUGCAUGGGGUCCAUUCCAAGGGAGUCUGAUAUAAUUACUAUGGGGUGCAGCCCAGGCGUAAACAUUUUUUAAAAACUCCUCAACCAGAAUAACGGCUCUACAGAAAUUUUAUCAAAUGCCAAAGAAAGAGUUCCUUAUUUUGCAACUAUAGUGCUUUCUACUCUGGCCCUAAUCAACUUUCAUAAAGGCAGAAUGGACAGACAUUACGUGUUUUAAUUUGAAGACUACCAAAAGGCCGGCCAUUAAACUAGGUAUAUGGGCUCGUCCUCAAAUCCCUAAAUCUACUCCUUAGGACCUACUAUAGCCAGUGUCAUAUAAUAGAAAAGUCACUUAUUGUCCACCAGACCCUGCCCUAAUAUUUGAUAACCUCUUGGGGCCUCAUUUUCUUGUGUCUACACUGGGGAUGAUAUUAACUCUUCACAGGAUUUGGGGAAUUAUAAAGAAAGACCAUGUAGUAAAGGCAGGAAGAUCAAUAAUCAAUAAUCACAUCAGAACCUGAAGGGACUUCGUACCAUUGAAGUGAGGCAGAGGAGAGAGAAAUUUAGAAGGACAAAUUCACAAAUUUCAAUGUGUUUCUAUAAUAACUACUUAAAUUAUUUUCUCUUUGAAUUGCCUCACUGUUGUGUGUGUAUGUCCCCACUCCCACCUGUCCCAUUAUUUUCCUGUUUUCACUUGUACCUUGGCAACCCAUCUGUGGUUUUGGCCAAGCUGUUUUAAUGGCAUUGAACCUGGUAGUUUUUUUAAAAGAGUGUGGUAGUAGUUAUAUAUGGCUCGAUAACUCCUGGGGCUACAACAAGGUUAAUGCGACAGUUUUUGUUGUUUAAAAAACAUGCUUGUCUGACAAGUCAAUCAUUUUAAGCCCCUUGUUCACUUCAGGAUGGUUGCUAAAGGCUUCUCUGUGAGCUAAAAGCUCUCGCUGUUAAGGGGCUGCCUGCCCUGACUGUAUGCAUUAAAUGGAACAGUUCUCUACAUGGUUUCUUACUACAGAUGCCUUGGGAUAUAUGGACACUGGCAUUACCUGCUGCAACAGGUCCUCUCCCAGGGUACUGCUGAGACCUAAGGGCUUAAAUGCUCACCAAACCAAGUGACCUUGGAGGGCUGGUCAUGGUGGGCAUCUGGGAGCUGGGAAAGAGCAUUGGAGAACUUCAUAGGGAAACCUAGUAGGCAAAAAUGAAAGAACCCAUAAGGGCCAUUGGCAUGAGCCAUAGCUAAAGGCCACUGGGUUAGCUCUCAAAGAAAACUGCAAGAUUGAAGCAUAAAUUCCUUCAUCAUGAACCAGAAGUCAUGGAGUGGAGCCAGGGGCAAGAAAGAGAAAGAUGAAGAGGUAGAACCACCAGGAUAAAGGUGCCAAGAAAAACAGUGAGAGCAACACUCAGGGAACCAGAGACAGGAACACAGCUGGGAACUAGGAGGAGAAACCACCACAGCUGGAGCGCAAAGUGGCCAGGUCAGAAAAGCCUCAUGGAAUCCUGGUUAACUGAAUGUUUCUAUUGACUGAGGCCACUGCUUAAGCCCUGUAUUCUUUUUUAUUUCAAUCCCCAUGGUUAGAAAAAUAGUCCUAAAAUGGGUUCAUACCCUUUCCUAUCCUGCAAGAUCUUAAACAUCACUAUCUUUUCCUGCAGUAGUUAAAAGCAUGGGCUUUGGAAUCAGAAACUGGGCACAAAUCUGAGCCCUGCUACUUAUUAACUGUGUAACAUUGGUCAAAUGAAUAAACUUCCUGGAGCCUCAGUUUCCUUGCCUGUAAAAUGUGAGUAACAAUACCAACUUAUUUUCAGGUUGUGAGCAUUUCUCCAUAAUAAUCCACAUAAAACACUUACCAGAGCCCUUGGCAUACUGUGUGAGCAUGUAAUAAUGUUAGCUGUCAUUCCAAGACAACAUGUUGGAAUAAUCUACUUUUUCCAUCACUAUAUAUCUCAUUUUCCUUCUUUUUCUUCUCCCUCAAACCUGUCCCCAUUCCAACAGAUGUUUUGGCCUGUGUUCCUAGCCUCCAGUGACAGCAGAAAGCCUGUUAGAUUUCCUGCCUUUGUUUCCCAAAAUUUGAGCCCCAAGAAACUGGGACAAGAUAUUUUCCUGAGACAAGAUAUCUCAGGAAGGGGAAUGAGUGGAGCUUCUUUUCACCCCACACUAGAAAGCCAUUCUGUUUAGAAAAAGGAGACGGAAGGGAAAGAAAAGGGUGCUAUACCAGUUUUCCAGUAUCACCGUCAGGGAGAAAGCAAGGCCGGAGAGUAUCUGGGCAGAUGUAACUAUAAGCAGCCUAAUAAAGGUUCCCAAGUCCAAACCAUGAAUCCAAACGGCAGAGCUGCCAGACAUGAAAGGCCUUGCUGCCCUUCCACCCCACAAUACUUCACCUCUGGAAGCCUUGACAAUUCCAGGGAGUAUUUGCAAAACCCUGCCCCCACCCAAAAUUUUUAAAAUACUGCAUAUGAGUGAGUAAAAUGAUGCCGAGAUUUUUAAAAGGACAAGCUUACCAUCAGAUAGGUAGAAUGAGUAGUAGUGGCAGCGGUGGUGGUAGUGAUAUAGAGAUAAAAGAGUUAAGUGGAGUUACUGAAAUGUGUAGUUAUAUUUCUCACACUCUGGUGUUUGUGGAUUUGUGGGCUGAGAUUCUUAUCAAAUUCCGGAACUUGCAAUGUCUCAAGGUAAUUGUUUAAAAUAUUAAUUGUUUUACUCACACUGCAAAUGUUGAUAUAGAUGCUGGGGUGGAGGUGGGGCAAUAGGCCAGAAUAAGCCCAAGAAUACCUUGGAAUUUGCUGAAUUUCUUUCUUUUUGCAUAAUCUUAUUCACACAUUAACAUAAUAUGAACCACUCUGGCUCCAUGAGCAGCACAGAAGAGACUUUCUGCAAAUGUGAUUAUUAGGGCAAAAGUUAGGAGAUUUUUUGCCCCCAGCUUUUCUCCUCUCCUAAAAUCUUUUUUUUUUUUUCAUUUCUUUGUCAGUGUCUUUAAUUUUUUUAGCUGCAUUUAAAAGGCUUUCUAUUAUUUCUGCAUGAGUAAGAGCAUGUGUCAUGUCAGCCUCCUUGUCAGCUUCUGUUUCACUUUCAUUAAAUUUGUUGAUUGAGUGUAAAGAAGGAGGCACUGUCAUCAUUUCCAGAUUUCAUAGCUGUAGGUUAGAUCUCUCUCGGAGCAAUGCCAUGAUUACUGCUGCAAUUUUGUAAUGGAGCCCUGGAGAGACAGGGAUGAAACCAGGGAAGGCUCCUUAUCCCUUUCGUGGGUCCAGGGAGGCAGAAAGAGAGGGGAGGAGGAUGUUUCUGUUUCACCUCUAUUCAUUCAUUCAUUCAUUUGCUUCACAAAUAUUGAGCACCUCCUGAGUGACAGACACUGAUUUGGGUGCUGGAAAGCAUAAGCAGCCCUGGUGCCUGUCCUCACAGAGCCUAUGGUCUGCUGGUGAGACGGACUUAAUCAGAUAAACACACUAAUGAAUGUAUAGUUGCACCAACAGAUCCUCAUUUAAUUGAGCUGGACUAGGACCUAGGCAUCAGUAUUUUUUUUAUAAGCUUCAUAGGUAACUCUGCCAGGCCUGGGAAUCACUGGGCUAGACCAUGCAAGUUCUAAUCAUAUAGGCUCUACUCAAGCAUUAAGCAUUUUGAUUUUAUCUUUCAAGCUGUGGUGAAAACGUUACUGAAGAGAGGUGAUAUAGUAAGAUGCUCACGGUUUUUAAAAUUAAGCUUUUUUAUUUUGAAAUAAUUAUAGACUCAUAUGCAGUUGUAAGAAAUAAUACAGGGGAAUCCCAUAUAUCCUUUAUCCAGUUUCCCCAAUGGUAACAUCUUGCAAAACUAUGGUACAAUAUCACAACCAGGAUAUUGACCUUGGUGCAGUCAAGAUAAAGCAUUUUCAACACCACAUGAAUCCCUCCUGUUGUCCUUGGAUAGCCCUCCCCACUUUACUCCUGGUGACCACUAAUAUGUUCUCCAUUUCUAUAAUCUUGUCUUUUCAACAGUUAUAUAAGUGGAAUCAUAUAGUAUAGAACCUCAUGGGAUUGGCUGUUUUCUCUCAGCAUCAUUUUCUGGACAUUCAUUCAGGUUGUUUCACGUGUCAAUAGUUUGUUCCUUUUUAGAGGGCUGACUAGCGGUGUUCCAUGUAUAGGGGUGCCAUAGUUUGUUUAACCAUUCACAUGUUGAAGGACAUCUGGGUCUGCUCCAAUGUUCAGAGAUUUUAAAUAGAGCUGCUAUACACAUUUGUGUAUAGGUUUUUGUGUGAACAUGAAGUCUUUGUUUCUCUGGGAUACAUGCCCAAGUGUGCAAUUGCUGAGUUAUAUGAUAGUUGCAUGUAGAAACUAUCAUGCAUAAAGAAACUGUCAAACUAUUUCCAGAGUAUCUGCACCAUUUUACAUUCUCAACAGUAAUGUACCAGUGAUCCAGUUUCUCCUCAUUCUCAUCAGAAUUUAAUGUUGCCACUGUUUUUUAUUUCAGCCAUUCUGAUAGGUAUGUGGUAAUUGCUUGUUGUGGUUUGCUUUGAGUUUCUCUAAUGGCCAACGAUGCUGAACAUCUUUUCAUGUGCUUAGUUGCCAUCUGUAUAUUACCUUUGGUGAAGUGUCUCUUCAUGUCUUUGGCCUAUUUUCUAAUUGGAUUAUUAGCCUUAAUGUUGAGUUUUGAGAGUUUACUUUUAUAUUCCAAAUACUAGUCCCUUUUGUCAAAUAUGGGGUUUGCAAUUUUUUUCCCACUCUCCAAUUUGUUUUUUAUCCUGUUUACAGGGUCUUUCACAGAGCAAAGUUUUUUAAUUGUGAUGCAGUCUAAUUUAUCAGCUUUUCCUUUUAUGGACCAUAUUUUUGGUGUCGAGUCUAAGUCGUCUUUGCUGAGUCCUACAUCAUGAAGAUUUUUUCUUACUAAAAUUUGAUAGUUUUAAAUGUUCUCUAUUUAAGUCCGUGAGUUAUUUUGAGUUAAUUUUUGCAUAAGGUAUAAAUCUUAGGUUGAGGCUCACUUUUUAAUCUUAAGGAUUGCUCAGCAUCAUUUAUUGAAAAGGCUAUCUUCCCUCCAUUGAAUUUCUUUUGUACCUGUGUCAAAACAUCAGUUGCAUAUAUUUGUGUGUAUCAAUUUCUGGGUCUUCUGUUCUGUUCAGUGGAUCUAUGUGUCUAUUUCUCUGCCAAUACCAUAUAGUUUUGACUAUAGUAGCUGUAUAAUAAGUCUUGAAACCCUUGAAACCAGGUAAGACUGGUCCCUUUCAUAUUAGCCUUCCUUUUCAAAAUUGUUUUAGCUAUUCUAGUUCCUUUGCUUUUCUGUAUACAUUGUAGAAUAGUGUUGUCUAUAUCUAUUUUUAAAACUUGCUGGAAUUUUUUUUUAAGAGACAGAGUCUUGCACUGUUGGCCAGGUUGGAGUACAGGGGUAUGAUCAUAGCUCACUACAGCACCAAACUCCUGGGCUCUAGCAAUCUUCCUGCCUCAGUCUCCCAAGUAGGUAGAACUACAUGCAACUGCCACUACAAUCGUAUUUAAAAGUAAAGUUAAAAAAAUUUUUUUUGAGAGAAGAUCUCACUCUGUUGACUAGUCUGGUCUUGAACACCUAGCCUCCAGCAAUCCUCUUGCCUCCCAAAGCACUGGAAUUGCAAGAGUGAGCUACCAGGCCCAACCAGUAUGUUAUGUGUGCAGUUUUUUGUAGAUAUUAUUUAUUAUGUUGAGGAAACUCCCCUCUAUUGCCAUUUUUCUGAUAGUUUUUAAGAUCAUUCAUGGGUGUUGAAGUUUGUCAGAGUCUUUCUGUAUCCAUUGAUUGUUAUGAUCAAGAAUUUUUUCUUUAGCCUGUUAAUACGAUGUAUUAAAUAGCUUCAUUUUCAACUACUGAGCCAGCCUGAAAUAAACCUCGCUUGGUCAUGAUAUAUUAUUACAUAUGCUGCUGAAUUCUAUUUUCUCUUUUACUGGUCUUUUGGCUGGAGAGAGUAGGCUUUUGUUGGGGCUUUACUUGUACGUGCACAUUGUUAUUUCUGGGUUGUCAGCCUCCUUCUCUCCAAGUCUGGGAUAUAUGGGACAAAAACAUAAUCCAGGGAGCCCACCACCUUGUUAGACUUUGAGUCCCUAGAUCCCUAGGUGGUCUGGCUUCUUUUUUUCACCUUUGAAAAUCUUAUGUUUGUUUUAUACAUAAUGUUGAGAGUUUUUCGUUGUUCUUAGUGGCAGAAGUAUAGAAAGAUACUCCAUCUUCUCAAAAAUAGAAGUUCAGAUUAUGUUUUGAAAGGCACUGUAGGCAGGCCAGGGAAGGCUUGUAAAAGGCUACUGCACUGGUCCAGGUGAGGGGAGUUAGUCUGGUAGAAGGCUGUUUCUUCCACCAUUCUCCCCUCACAUUCCACUGCCCCAUUUGCAUGGAGCUGGGGUUCUACUACCCCAGUAGGGCAGCAAGAGAGAAGGAGCAGGCAAUAUCUUGGAGCAUUACACCAUGAUAAAGGGACACCAAUACCCUCCAGAUGCUAGCUGUUUCUUUCUAGAGCUUUUAAACAUUCUCCUUCAGCAGAAGAAAUAAGUCACUCCUGAAAGCAUCCUAACAAUGUGCAUUUCUCCAAAGUUUCCUUAACACUUCACAUUUAACAUGACUCCAGGUAUAAGCAACAUUAAACAAGUCAUAUCUUAUGUUACAACUUGAGUGAAACUUUAAUGAUGCUGAAUUUGCUAAUUUGCUCUGGUAUAAUGUAUUUCCUGUUUAUAAUCCCUUUUGGCUAAUAGCACUAAUCAACAGAAAACACUGACAGACUGCACAAUGGCAACAGUAAUUCUGGACAGAGAUAGUUUUAUUAUCUACAGAUGAAUCCAUGUUUCUAAAACAUUAUUUACUAUAAUGUAAAAUAUGGGUUGGGCGUGGUGGCUCACACCUGUAAUCUCAGCACUUUGGGAGGCUGAGGCGGGCAGAUCACCUGAGGUCAGCAGUUCAAGCCUAGCCUGGCCAACAUGGUGAAACCCCAUCUCUACUAAAAAUACAAAAAUUAGCCAAGUGCAGUGGUGCAUGCUUGUAAUCCCAGCUACUUGGGGGGCUGAGGUAGGAGGAUUGAUUGAACCUGGGAGGCAGAGGUUGCAGUGAGCCGAGAUCAUACCACUGCACUCCAACCUGGGCAACAGAAGGAGACUCUAUCUCAAAAAAUAAAAAUAAAAAUAAAAAUAAAAUGUAGUAGAUAAAGGUCAUAAUUUCUAUGCACCAAAGCUUUUAUAGGAGGCCUGUAUUUUAGCAAUCAACCUGUCCUUAUUCUGUUCAAAUUCAAGGGCACUUGAAUCACUUUAGAUGGUGUCACCUACAUUGGGAAGCAAUCACAGUAUAGAUAUUUUUUCUUAUUAUGUUUGCAAAAUAAACUUCACAAAAUUGUCUAGCAACCUUGUGACCACUUGUUUUCUUUUAUUGAACAUAAUAAUCCUUUUAAC